rnacentral:rRNA from 1 species
UACGUAGGGGGCGAGCGUUGUCCGGAUUUAUUGGGCGUAAAGAGCGUGUAGGCGGCCAGGUAGGUCCGUUGUGAAAACUCGAGACUCAACCUCGAGACGUCGAUGGAAACCAUCUGGCUAGAGUCCGGAAGAGGAGAGUGGAAUUCCUGGUGUAGCGGUGAAAUGCGCAGAUAUCAGGAAGAACACCUAUGGCGAAGGCAGCUCUCUGGGACGGUACUGACGCUGAGACGCGAAAGCGUGGGGAGCGAACAGG